UGACACGUAGGUGGGUUUGUAAGUCAGACGUGAAAGCCUUCUGUUCAACGGAAGAAUUGCAUCUGAAACUACAAACCUUGAGUGUAGGAGGGGAGAAUGGAACUUCUGGUGGAGCGGUGAAAUGCGUAGAUAUCAGAAGGAACGCCGGCGGCGAAGGCGAUUCUCUGGCCUAUUACUGACACUCAGUGUGCGAAAGCAAGGGGAGCCAACGGGAUUAGAUACCCCGGUAGUCCUAGCCGAAAACGAUGUGCACUAAGAAGAGGGGUUUU
rnacentral:rRNA from 1 species